UCACAUCCAAAACCAAUAACAACACAAAGAAAACGUAUACUGAUCUCUGCUCUAUAGGUUCAUAUACAUUUUUCUUUUGUAACCCUAAAAACAUGGCAAUACUCAGGAACAAAAACAUAACCUUUUCAUUGAUCUUGAUGUGUCUCAUUGUGGUGUCUCCAAUUGCUAAUGCUCAGCUUGGUGGUCUGGGUGGUGGGCUUGGUGGUCUUGGUAUGCUUCUUGGUGGGCUUACUAAUAUCUUUAAUAUUCAAGGCCUUCUCAUGUGCUCUGUCACUGGCACCGUCUCUACCAAUAACGCGACUGCCGUUCCUCCUUUUCCUAGUAAAUUUUCUAUUCUCACACUUUCUCUUUCGAUCAACUAUGCCAAAAUAAAAACAACGGAUUUGUUGUAAACUAUGUAAUAGUUAGAAUGAUAUAUAUACACUACACACACUCGAACUUUUUUCAUUUAUUCAUAAGUUAGGUGUUAAAUAAUCAAGUUACCAUCAAUUAAACAUAUAUUAGAAAAUGUGGUAUAACAUGUUUGUAAAACUAGACCUAUCACCUAUGUAAAACCAUCAAUAUAUUGUGAAGGAAUGUUAGGAGUAUACGUAGAAUUCUAUUGACUCUAGUAACCAGUUAUAUAUCUUCCAUGCAACAUCUUUGUACACUCAAAUGUAUAGUAUAGAUUCAAAAACAUAAAUUAACCUAUAUGUACGGGUGUACGGCAAGGAUACAUGUUACUGAGAUAAUAUUUAAAUGUAAAUUUUGUUCUACACAUUUGUAAUAAUAUAAUGCUGCAAAUAAACAAACAGAUGCGGGAAUAGUGUUCCAGUGCACUGGGCAAAAUGUUUCAAGUACGACUACGAACGCUAAUGGAGUAUUCUCGAUUCCUACUAUUGGACUUCCCUUUUCGCCUUCAACACUCCUCUCCUCCGGUUGUAGGCUCGUCGUCACGACCCCUCUCACCGCCUGUAACGUCAGCCUCCCUGCGGCCGGACUCCUCAUGGCACCUUUAUCUCUAGUCGGAACCGCUGCCGGCGACGGCCUCAACAUCUUCAGCCUCGUCCCAGGUGCCUUUGGCCUCGUCGGUUAACUGAUUCCAAUCAACCGAGUAUGCUUUAUGUUUGAUCACGGUGUGUUUCCCAGUUUCUGUUUGUUUUAUGUUUUGUGGCAUGACCAAUAACGUUUGCUUGCGUAUGCAUGAAUAAGGUCUACAUAAUAAGGCGUAUGUGUUUAUCUUCAAAGUAUUGUUGUUGUAACUUCUUUUUAUCCAGUUCUUAAUUUGCAUGUAUAAUUGCUGUAACGAAAUGUAAUGAAAUGAUAUGAAAUAAAGUAACUUCCCUUUUAUAGAUAUAUUGAGAGAAAGUCUCUUUCCAUAACCUGACCCGUAUUGGAACCCUAAACCAUACAUAUACCCACUCCCAGAACCUUAUUCUUCCGUGUCUGAAUUUAUAAAGAACGAUAUAAUAUUGGAGUCGUAUAUAUGAUUCACUUAAGUUCUAGUAGCUUCCUUUGAUCAGUAUGUGUGUACAAUGCCGAAUUAAGUACUGAACUAAGUGGCCUGCAACCAGUGGCGGAACCAGCUCAACCUUUCACAGUGAAAGUUUCAGUAGGGUCAUUUGCAUAAUUUUAUUAUGUUACUUGGGUCAAUAGUCUAAAUCUCUUAACAUUUUUUCAGUUUGUUUCAAAAUACAAAGGAAAAUUUUCUUUUAAUAAAAAUCCAUAUGAGUCAUAUGACCACCCUCAGCUUAAGCUAGUUCCGCCACUGCCUGCAACUGCUUAGUGCUCUUCUUGGUGAUUUUAAUUCAAUUACCACUCGUAUAUAAAUGUGAAUUCCUCUGUUAUAAUUUUCACAUGAUACAAAUGUCGUUUUCCUAAUGGCUCAUCUCUCUAAACUCUGAACAGAAAUAAUAUGCGUAACACUUAACAGACACUUGCAAACGUUUUCGAAUAGCACAAUAACAUUUCCAGUAAAGAAACUUUUAAGUGUUUAACAUAUUUGAAAAAAAAGUCACAGUCGAUAAUAAAACAUAGGUAAUUGCAUAAGUAGUCGAUAAUACACAUAGAUAAUUGCGUAAGUGUGUACUUUCAAGUACAUGGCUCUAGUUAUUUCAUCUAGCUACAAGGAUAAGGCUAUAUGCAAUAGAUGUUUCUCACGGAUUUUUUUCACAAUUUAGGUGAAUAAUUAAUUAGAGGAUUCUCUCAAUAAAGUUAAGAAUUCAUGUGGGAAUCUCUCAUUUGAAAAAAAUCAUAAAUGAAUCUCUCAAUUUUGUUAAAAGACUCUCAAGUUAAUUAUUCAUAUAGAUUGUGAAGGAUUUUAUUUAAAAAACUCUCAUAGCACAUAACCUAAAUGAGAAUUUUUGAAUUUUCUGGGUUCUGGAACGUUUUAGUUUUUGCUUUUGUUAGAUUUCAUAAGAGUAACACAUUGAGAGGUUCUCAAGAUGAGAUUUUAUGAUAUAGAAUUCGUUUUGAGAUACUCAAAUUAGCAUUUUAUAAAUAUAUAUUUAUUUGAAAAUAUUUUGAGAUUUGUUUUUAGAGAACUUCGUAUUAGGUAUUAGAGUUGCUACAAGUUUCCCAAAAGUUUACCAUAUUCUAAAAAUGUGAAUAUGGUAAACUUGUAGCAACUCUAAUACCUAAUACGUAUGGUAAAUGAAUAUUUUACCAUAUUCUAAAAAGCAACUCUAAGUUUACCAUCACUUCGUAUUAGGUAUUAGAGUUGCUACAAGUUUCCCAAAAGUUUACCAUAUUCCCAAAAGCAACUCUAAGUUUACCAUAUUCUAAAAAUGUGGAUAAUACAAUGGACGAUUUACAAAACAAAAUAAAAUUACUCAAUAUAAACUAUAAAUUUUUGUAUUUUGAAAUUUCAUAUCAAAUCAAUAUUUAACACGGGUAAAUUAUAAAACUAUAUAUUACUCUAUAUGUUCAUAAAUAUAAGAUGUCUAGGUAGAAACAACACAUAUAUUAAGAAAACUAUUUUUUUGUCCAAAAAGUAUCAUUAAAACUAUAAAUUAAUAGUAUUCAACCAAUUACAAAAUAGACUAUUAAAAUAUGAUUGGGUACACAGUUUUUAAUAAAGUAAAAGUUACCUAAAAAAAUGAAAACAUCUUAUAUAUUGGAAUAUCUUAUAUAUUGGAACAUCAAAAUUUUGUAAAACAUCAUACUUUUAGGAACAUAAGAAGUAUUACUUAUACAAAUGAAUAUUUAUUUAUAAUAAAAUAUAAGUAAACACGUGGGUAGGUGUGCAGAUUAAAGUCUAGUCUUUUAUUACGAGAUAGAGUGAGUAGCAUUUUUUGAUUGAAACACUUUUUAUGAUUACUGCACAAACUUAGAGAAUUUUUAGGAAUAUUGUUCUAUAUUUUGGCUUUUGUUGAACGAUGCAUGAAGGAGAUCAGCUUGUUUAUGAAAUUCACGCCUGUAUAACUAAAAUAUUUGUUUUCCAUUUAGUUUUCACGGGUCCUUUAAUAUAUUGCAUGAUUUCCUUGUUGUACUUGUGGCAGAGAAGCAUUCACUGCUAUGUAUUAUACUCAUAUUAUACAGUCAUAUGAUUUUUUUUUUGUAACUUUUUUUUUUUUUUUUUUUUUUUUUGGUCAAAAUGUUAAGAUUUAUAACCAGUUUUCAAUUUUACAGAGUUGUGGAAACCACUUAUUACAAGAAAAGAAAGAAACAGCAACAUUAGACAGGAGAGAGUGAGAAAGAAAAGAAGAUUUGCAGCAGGGAAGGGGCUGGUGGAGGGCGUGAAGACGGUGGAAUGAUGGAGAGAAGUCGAUCGCGAAUCAUCCUGUCAACCCGGGACACAGAAGCCUGAACUGGAGAUGCGUUGUCCCUGAAGAUUCUGAAAUUUCUUUCCCGCCAAAGAACAUAGGAGAUGACCUGCAACAGAAGCUUGAAAACCGAUUGUGCAGCAGAGGAGGAAGCCAGCGGGCCUUGGUCCAGCAAAGCGAUGCACGAGAGGAUAGAUACCGGUGGGGCCGUUAUAAAUAUCUAUAACGGCCCCACCGGUAUAAAAUAGAACCUGGGAUCUGAAACACAUUGUGUCCAUGAUGUUGCAGGACACAGUCACACACAAGCUGUACUGUGAUCUCAUAUUCUCAUGACAGCUAGUAAAUGGUUAGAUCUCCGAUAUGGUAUACUUCAAAAUUAACCAUAUUACGGACUUUCUUUCCUUUCCUCAGUCUUUUUCUCAACAAAUUCUGAUUCUACUAAUAAAUAUAUUAGCUCUGUUAUUUUCAUUAAUGCGCGAGCUGCGGCUGCGACAAAGAAAAUACAGUGUGAUGGAAGCCAGUUGAACGCCACAGAAAAUUAAAAUGGUCUUUAGUGAACUGCCAAAAGUACAAAAAUUUGAGAAGCAAUUGUCGCUGAAAUAUUCAGCGUUUCUUUUACUCCUUGCAAUCAGCCGCAACGUCAAGAAAAAUAGACGGCAAGGUUUCAUGAUUGAUGUGCGGGCUGUGGUUCGCCGUGGUGAUACUUUAAAUUUUUAGUCGCAUUCGCUGGCGGUGGCGUUCACAAAAAAAACAUGCUUAAAUUUGACAUUAUAAAUAUGCAGAAUGGGGACAGACUCUAACUAAUGCAUUAUAAGAAGAUUUUUGGAGUAAAUAAUGACUCUCCAUCUGAAUGAUUAAUUCUCCUGCUUUUCAAUUUAGGAGAUUUUCAAAUUUACAUCUAAUAUUUUCUUUAAAAUGAACGUGGACAAAGAUAUAAAUUUUCUAAAUUUAAAAUAAAAAUAUAUAUUCUUCUAUUUUAGAAGAAUAUAAUAAAAUAAAAUCUACAUAUAUUUCAAGAAUUAUUUUAUUUUUGAAUAAUAAACAGAAGUGGAUUUGAGAUUUUCUUAGUUUUUAAGAUGAUGAAUUGUGUUUUUAAGUAUAUCUACAUCUUUUUUUAAAUCAGAAAAUGCAUAUGCUUAAGCAUCAGCUGAGAACACCAAUAAAUCUUAGCAUUCAUAAGAGAGUUUUGCAGGAACAUGUUGCAAGUUACUUGAGAAGAUAUCCGUUGCAUCUAGUUCUAGGAUCACAAAAUUGAAAUUGUUUUUAAAAAUCUCCUAGACAUUAUUUGCAAAAUGAUUUCACACAUUUCUUCUCUACAAUCAAUUUUACCAAAUAAAUGUGACAUGGCAUACUGAAAUUAAAGACAUACCUUAUAAUUAAAUGUAACAUAAACAAUUACAGUUAAUACUGAUUUAUAUUUCUGGUCAACUUUAUAGAUUAUGAUUGUAAAUUAUACAUCAUCAUUAAUAUAAAUAUAUUCAAAUGUGAUAUUAAAUAAUAUAAUCAUAGAAAUAUAAUCAUAUUUACAAUUUUUUAAAAAAUAAUUAUAAUUAUACAAUUUUUAUUACUAAAAACAAUUUUCAAUUUUCUUUUACAAUGUUUACGAAAAAAAAUGUAAUAUCAUUAGUUUCUCUUAUAUCUACAAUUUUUGAAAUGCUCUUUAGCUUUACUUUUUGAUAAUUAUACAAUUUUUAUAUCAAUUUAUAUAAGUUUAUUUAAUAUAUUUUAACCAAAAUAAAUAUAUAAAAAUAUAUUCUACUAUUGUAAUUUUAAAAAUAUACAUAUCUAUUCUCAAAUAUAAUUUCAAAUAAAUAAAAUUGUUUAUUUUAUCUUAAUUUUAUGUUCAAUUAAAUCAAAAUUUAAGUUAAAAUUUUAGUAAAAGAAUAAUAAAAUCUAAAAUAAUAUUUUAUUUUUAAAUUAUAUUAAAUUUAAAAUUUUUUAUUGUUGCACAUGGUGCAAAAAAAUACCUAGUUGAGACUAUAUUUUGGUAGUUCAGUACAUACACGGACAUGAUCUUAUACGUUUUUUACAUGAUCUUACAACUUAUUUACAAUGAUAUAAGAGACACAAUAAGAUAUCACUGACUGUAAAGUGUUCAUUGGUAUACUGCUAAAUAAGCAAUGAUGUCCAGGUUUACUUAAACCUAGGAGCGUGCCGCACUUCACGCGAAAUAUUGUUUUAUUAUAGUUAAAUAUUAUUUUUUGGAUGAUGUAAUUAUGUAGUCAUCUUUAUUUGUUAAGAGUGUUAUUUAGGUUUUUAUUGUGUUACAUAGUAGUAUGUGAUAGGUUAAUAUGUUUUGUGUUUAUUUUUUUAAUAAUGUGUUGUUGUGUGUAUAGUAGUACUUGUUAGUAGUGAAGUGAGCCUCAGAUAUAAAGCAUAUUGAAUUUCAAUAACUUUGCAUUGAGGCAUUUGUUGAUUAUAAGAUUAAUGAUUUCAACGAUAAAAUUGUAUUUUAUUUUUGAAAUGUUUGAACAUUAUUCUUCUGAGAUGUGUUUUGCCCUCUCUCCAUAUAUUGACUUUGACCCGUCACCAUCUAGGUGUUUUGUUUAUCUUUCCAGUGUGUGAUGCUUCUCAUCAUUACCAGAAAAGUAUUCGCCUAUGUGCUUUUGUUUUUCCUCGCCUUCUUCUCCUGUGAGAUUAUCUGGUAUUUGUUGUAGAUCGAGUUUAUGAGUUCCCAGUUGUGUGUUUGUUUCUCACAGUGUUGUAGGUUGUUCCGAUCAAUAUUGGCUGCUCCUCUUCUUUCUUAGAUUCCGGCCGAUGUUAGAAGCUACAUUUCCUUGUGUUGGGUCAUAGUUUAGUCGUCUUUGAUGUUGUCUUCCUCGUUGUUGGCUUACUGUCGAUAGUCCCUCCUCAUCUUGUUUUCAAGAUCUGGUUUUUGGUGAUCAUAUUUCUCUGCUAUUUUUCAUAGCUAGAGGAUGUUUCCACGGUUGUUGUUUCUCCUUCUGUAUCCUCUCAUCUCGUUACAAAUUUCAUCGCUGCUCACAUCUCUGGUGGUUCUUCUUUUUGCCAUGUUUGCCACUCCAGGUUUGGAUAAUGUUUUCUUCCAUGUAUGCUUUGUGGGCUUGGAAGGUUGUUUCUGGUCUCAAGCUUAAGCUCUAAUUUUUCAGUGGUUGGCUUCUAUUCUCCCUUCCUCAGGUUAUUUCUCUUCUUUCCAUGCUUCUCUUGGUAAAGGUGUGCGAAGCUAAUCUCUUGAACUUUGGUCUCUUCUAUCCAGAGCUUUGUGGUUCUUUUCUGGCAUGGGUGUACUGUUUGUUUAGUUUGUGAUGUGUUGUUUCUUACUUCUUAGCUGGUGGUUGUGCUUCUGCUGCUGUAGGCAUGUAUCUUCUUGUUUUGUGGUGAUUUUGGCAUUCCUGUGAUUAUUUUUCCUCUGACCCGCUUUAUUGGUUCUUUGUGUUUGGUGCUUGAUCGCGCUCCUUUGUAUUUGUGGGAUUGCUUUGUCUUUUUUUUUUUAACAAAAGGGAUUUCUUUGUUUUAGAUUUUUUUUUUCUACCCUUUUCUAACCUCUGUUUUUUUUUCCGGCCAAGACACUCUAUGGUAAGAUGAUGUAAGUUAAUCUUCAUUCUUGAUCUCUUUUUAAAUCCGGACCUUUAUUGAGUUAAUGUUACUAUGACAUUUUGCUUAUCUCUCAGAUUGAGGAGAUUUUAAGUUUAUGUGUGUUGUAAUUUUUAAUAGUAAUAUAAAUAUAGUAUUUGUAAAUAAAAUAAUAAAAAAUAGAAAAUAGUAAAAAUGAUAAAAUAGUGAAAGUUAUUUUUUUAGUUGUUAAUAUAUUAAAUAUUUAAAUAUAGUUAUGUUAUUUUACUUAUUUAUUUAUUCAUCUUGAAUUUUAGUGACCAAUAAAAUAUAUUAUCAAACAUCGUAUCAUGAUUGUUAGUGCAAGAAGGAUUAGAUAACUAAAAUUCUCAGAUCAAUCUUACCUAUCAAAUUAGAUCAUGUUUAAUUCAGUGGUUGAAAUUAAAAGAUAAAAAUAGACAUUAACAAAAAUAAAUGAUCUUUUAACUACUUCUCCUUUUGAUACACCAUUUUAUUGGUUUUUAAGUCUCAGAUACCUAAGCCAACAAAAAAUUGAUUAUAGCUCUGAAUAUCUACAAGCAAGACCAUAAAUAAUGUAACAAAAAUCUCUAAAUACCUAUAUAUCUAUAUGUUUUUGUUACUAUUACAUUUGAACCACAAUUGUUCUGCAUGUUGUCAUUUGGACGCUAUAACUUGACCAAUUGCUGACACUUCGGUUUUUGGUUGCUAUUUGUAACGGAAAAAUAACAUUUUUCUUCAUAAAAAAAUAGUCUCUUUCUCGUAUAUUUUCUCUCUAACUAAGAGAGUUGUGGGUUUUUACAUGGAUUCGAUGAUGACAAAUUCAUAGUGAAGACAUUAUUCAGAUAGAAAAAUAGAAACACAUCUAUUUAGAUAAUUUCUAGAUUUUUUUCUCUUGAAUAAAAUCGGUGAUUAUUUAGAUCUAUGGAAUGAUCGUAACUUCUAAUCUAGAGAUAUAGAAAGAUGGGAUGUUGCAUGUGACACCUCAUAUUUUAGAUCAUUUUAGUGCUUUGAGUUGUAUUUAAUAAUCAUUUGUGUGCAUUAGGAAUUACUAUUAGAAAUUUUGGGACUAAUCCAAAAAGAAGAAAAAGUCUUACUUUAUAUAUAUGAUUACACAAGACCCUAGAUAUCGAAAUGAGUCUUCUCCCAUGUCCACCAGAAAAAAAUGAAGCAAACGCCUAGAUUUCUCUUCAAAAUGCAAAAUUCAACAAAAAGAAGAAAAAAAAAAGAUAAUAGAGAGGAAUGACUAAGAAUGACAUAAAUUCAACAUGCCAACACAUCUACUUACAUUUCACACAUAACUAACUGUAGUUUGGCCUCGUAACCAGAAACAAAGACAAGUUCAAAAAAAUACUACAGCCUCUAUAUGCGAAGAUAAAAGAAAAAAAAUCAAAAUCUUGUAUUGUAAUUACGGUUUACAUGAGUUUAUUGGUUCUUUAGACUUUAGGUAAACUCCGAGUGGCUUUCUUAGGGUUUUGUUAAUCUAUCAAACACUUAAUAUGUGAGCAUUCACCGUUACCAUGAGUGGACAACUAGAUUGGUGAAUGAAUCUUUUUUUGUAGCCCCUGGAGUUUCAUUUAAAAACAGAAAAUAACUAAAUAUGUAUGUCCUGCGAUAACCUAUAAACGACUGGUCGUCUGGUCCCGUGGAGCUUCACUCACAUUUACAUAUGCUUGUUAUGCUGAAAACCGAGCGAUCCAACUCAUAGUUGAAGAUGAAUAAGUUCAUGGACAAAUCUAUAACACAAGUUGGCUAGUGGAUUUGCUACUAUCUCCUUAUAUCAAUAUAAAGGCUGCUUUACGUAAGGUUGAUUUAUUUAUAUACUACAAAAUAUUUAAGCAGCCAGAAUAAAAUCUAUAGGAGAGUCCACCUACUCUACACUAUGAUUAGGGGUUUUGAGAUUAACUACCACUCAACGGUGCGAAUCCUCAAAUUGUUGAAUAUGGACUUUUGGAAAUUCUAUUGGAUCCACUAUAUCUUUUUAUGGACUCAAAAAUAUAGUCCAAUAUUUGUUUUUCUUGAUCUCUUUCACAUAGAGUUAAUUGGCUAAGUAACCAAUUUUAGAAGGAAAAUAAAUAAUAUUGCUAUGAUUUUGACAUAAUUAAACCAAUAACAUUUAUCUCAAGUUUUAUCAGGUUUUACUCUUUGUUUUAGCAAGUUACUGGUGAAAGAAGAGAAAAGUAACGGUGACCACAUGUGUACAAGAGAAAAUCGAAGCUGUAGAUGGUAAUCAAAUCAAUAACAUAACCAUGACGUCCAAUCAAUUAUGACCGAUCCGACAAAAAUCAGAUUAUUUAUAAAUUGGGAGGAACAAAGACGGAUACAUUUCGAUGACGUGGUUUUCAUUGUGGAAUACAGGCGGUACGGGACAAGCGGUUUAACUGCAGUGCAGUUUUAACAGUUAUAAAAACGUAUAGAUAUAUGAUAUAUGUAGAGAUUUUUGUUAUUGUUAACUACAGUGCGGGACGAGACGGUUCGUAACAUUCGAAACCACAAUAGUAUAAAACUCUACAAAUAGUAUAAAUAGAAGUAUCAGAUGUAUAAUAAUAUAGGAAGAAAUAAGUCUUUAAUUUGUUGAUGCGAAAGACAUCAUGAACUAUGAACUAGAUAUACAUAUCCUUCGUCCAACAUUAGUAAAUAGCAUGUUUAAUGGAAGUUUUUAGAAUAAGGUUUUUAGCGGAAUAUAAUAACCCACUUUAAAAACUCCCAUUAAAUAUUAUCUAAAAAUGAAUUUUAUAUUAUAAAUAAUCACAUAAAAUGACUGAGAAAAAAAAUACCAAACAUGAAAGCACGGCAAUUUGUUUCAUUUUGAGAAAAUAGUAUAAAAAUAUGUAGAGAAUAGAAGAUUAUAUAGUAUAAUAAUAUUAUAUAAAUAGCUAUACUAAAAACAUAUACUAUACUAUUAAUGCUUACGCUGAGUAUAGCAUAGUCAGCGAAUCCAUUUUCUUCGCCUUCUCUUUUUUUCUGACAUAGAGUUACAUACUGGUCCACUGUCACAAUUCUUCAUCACCAUAUGGAAUCGGCGAGCCAUCUUCUUCAUAUCUACUCAUCUUACUGACACGACAACACAUAUAUUUGCCUGCUGUCGUUAUUUUCACCACUAGAUCACGUUAAGCCACGAUGAUUGUGUUGAUGGAGGAAAAAAGGAAAUUACUACGAAGUGUAGAAGAAGACAAAACGGUGGGAAAAGGUGAUGAUAGAUGGGGUGGCGUUGGUGGCAGUGCCGGCUCUUGCGGAAUGCACAAAGUCUUUUAUUUUUUUUAGAAAUUUUCUUCCUAAAAUUAGGAGCUUAAGAGCAUGAUUAACCAUCUUAGUGAUUAUUUAAGUAAUUAAAAGUAGUUAAGAACUUUAAUUAAAAAAUCCAUAAAUUUUGUACUCCAAUGCUAGUUUCUUAACUAAGGAUUCUUAAAAAAAAAAAAUUUUAAACAAGUGUGUUCUCACCUCUACAUGUUACAACCAACUACACACGGAUUACACAAGCAUGAUUAUCAUUCCGUGACACAGAAACAUACAAGUACAAGACAUUACACAAACGUGUUCUCACCUCUGUCAGCAGCACAAGACAGUUUCUUCCAUCCGUGACUCGUGUGCCUCCUUUUGUGUCAUGUUACCUGCUUAGAAAAGAAGACAUCACACAAGAAACUUAAACAGAGCUUCACACAACAGAACAAGAAACAUACAAGCUAAACAUAACAGAACAACAUCACACAAGAACAAGACAAAUACAUUAACUCCAUAACAGACCAACAUCACACAAGAAACUUAAACAAAGCUUCUUAAACGUUUGAGCUAUGUAUUUAUUGGAUUAUAGAUUGUACGUUGGUUUGAUAUGGUUAAUACCGGUUAGGAACUUUCUAUAUAUAUUUGAAGUAUUGGUUACAUUGUAACAGAAUGAUGAUAAUAAUAAAAGAUAUUUUGAUCUUCAUCUCUCUCGCUUGAGCUCAAGUUCUCCGGAUCUAAUAUGGUAUCAGAGCAAUUGCUCUUCUUCUCCGCAUUUUCUCUUCGAUUCAGAGCUUGAUUCGAGUUUUCAUUUCAUUAUCGACGACUCGAUCUCUUCGAAUUUUCGAUCCGCGAUUCGUCCUUUUUCCCUUUUCUCUUUUCUCUUCUUUUGAUCACUGAACUUUCGUUUCUGUUCCGAUCUCUCUCCGAUUCAUUUCCAUUUCUCCGAUGUCUUAUGCGAAUGCUGUUACCUCUACUCCGUCAUCGGCGACGGCGCCAAACCGAUCACCGCUUACUCCUUCCCUUCAAGAUCCGAACUCGAAUCCGUUGUUCAUCCACAAUGCUGAUCAUGCUGGUAUUACUCUCGUUUCUGAUAAGCUUAUUGGCAUAGGGAAUUUCAAUACAUGGCGUCGAUCUAUGAUGAUGGCUUUAGGAGCUCGGAACAAAGUCGUUUUUGUAGAUGGAUCAUUUCCUGAACUUGAGAAAUCUCAUCCUGAUUACUCGUCGUGGUUUCGAUGCAAUAGUAUUGUGUGUACCUGGAUUGUUAACGCUGUGGAUAAAUCGAUCGCGAAAAGCAUCAUGUUUCUUGAUACAGCAAGGCAGAUGUGGUUGGAUAUUCACGAUCAAUUCCGUCAGAGCAAUGGUCCCCGUACUGCUGAGAUUAAACAGUUGAUCUUCUCUGAAGUUCAAGGUUCUCAGAGUAUUAAUGAGUAUUACACCAAGCUCAAACAACUCUGGGAGGAACUCAAGAAUCAUGAGAGUCCUUAUAAGUGUUGUUGUGCUCGUGAGAGUUGUGAGAGCUUCAAGACCCUGAUGGAUCGUGAUGAACAAGAUCGUGUGCUGAAGUUUCUUAUGGGGCUGAAUGACACCUUCACUGCUACGAGAGGUCAGAUAUUGAUGAUGGAACCAAAGCCUUCUCUCAUUAAGGUUUUGAAUUUCGUAUCACAGGAAGAACGUCAAAGGUCCAUGAAGAACAGUUCUGUCACGAGUUCAGUGGCCUUUCAAGCUUCUCAGCUCAACACACAACCUGAUCAGUUGGUCACAGCGUAUUCUGGUGGUUAUAACAAGUCUAAGGGUCGUCCUAUUUGCUCUCAUUGUGGCAUAGCUGGUCACACAGUUAAUCGUUGCUACAAACUUCAUGGUUUUCCUCCAGGGUACAAGACUCAAGGUUCCAAUCUCAAGCCACCACCUCAACAAUCUCAGCAACCUCAACAAUCUCCACAAAACAAGAUGAAUGAAUCUUGGCCUCCGAAGACUGGCAAUGUGGCUGGAUUGAUUACUCUUGAUCCGCAUAUAUAUACUCUCAAUCAACGUGGUGUUAAUCUGGAGAAUCUUACACCUGACCAGUUUCAGCAGCUUCUCAACGUUCUGAACUCAACUCCAAAGAUUCAGAAUAUUAUCUCUCAGGUCUCUGGCAGUCAGUUGAAUCUCGCAGAUGGCACAGUCUCCACUUCUAAACCGCAGCCCCAUCUUUCCACUCAAAUUCAUGCCCCAUCGGGUAAACCUAUUAACUCUUUUCAUUUAUUUUCUGCGGGAACCAACAAUAACCUUCCUUUUCAUAAGACUGCUUGGGUAGUUGAUACAGGAGCUAGCUGUCACGUUUGUUCUGAUUAUCAUCUUUUCAGUGAUCUCAUUCCCAUUACUGAUACUUUCGUUAUUCUUCCUGAUGGAACUCGAAUCUCAGUGACUCUUUCUGGAACAAUUAAACUUUCAGAUUCCCUUACCAUUUCCUCUGUUCUGUUUGUGCCUCAUUUCAAAUUUAACCUCUUAAGCAUCAGUGCUUUAACUCAGAACAGUCCUAUUACAGUGCUUUUCUCUUCCACUUCGUGCUACAUUCUUCCUUAUAAUCCUUUUCUUUCUCAGGAGCAUAUUCUGGACUCCAUGAUUGGGAAGGGUAAUCUUCGUGACAACCUUUACAUUUUGGAGUCCACUCUAUCUUCUUCCAGUGCUCCUUCUCACAAUCAUUCCGCUUUUCUAAUUUCAUCUGAAGUUUGGCAACAACGACUCGGGCAUCCCUCCUUUGACAAGAUUCAGACAUUAUCCAAAGAUAUUCAUCUUUCUAUUCCUAAAGAUACUCAUGAUACUUUCUGUAAACUCUGUCAUUUAGCUAAACAAAAGCGUAUGUCCUUUCGUUCUUCAAACAAUUUAUCUUCUCAACCUUUUGAUCUUAUUCAUCUUGAUGUUUGGGGUCCAUUUCAUGUUUCCACAUCAGAAGGAUAUAGAUAUUUUCUCACUAUAGUAGAUGAUUGUACGAGGGCUACUUGGGUUUAUUUACUUACUAAUAAGAGUUCUGUUACAACUAUCUUUCCUGAGUUCAUUCAAUUUAUUGAAACACAAUAUCAGAAGAAAAUCAAAGCCAUAAGAUCUGAUAAUGCUCCUGAACUCUCUUUUACUUCUUUGCUCAAAACUAAAGGGAUCAUUCAUUAUUUUUCUUGCGUCUACACUCCUCAACAAAAUUCGGUUGUAGAACGCAAACAUCAGCACAUUCUAAAUGUGGCUAGAUCUCUCCUUUUUCAAUCUAAUAUUCCCAUAGAGCAUUGGGGCGAUUGCAUUCUCACUUCCAUAUAUCUCAUUAACAGAACUCCUUCUCCGUUACUUCAAAACAAAUCUCCUUUUGAACUUUUAAACUCCAAACCUCCCUCGUAUGAUCAUCUCCGCGUUUUCGGUUGUCUCUGUUAUGCCUCCACUCUUCUAAAGGACAUACACAAAUUCUCUCCUCGAGCUUCUCCUUGUGUAUUCCUUGGUUAUCCGCAAGGAUACAAAGGAUAUAAAGUUCUUGAUCUUGAAACCAAUACUAUUCUCAUUUCCCGAAAUGUCAUUUUUCAUGGAUCUAUUUUUUCUUUUUCUAACUCUCCAUUGGUUUCUAAUAUAUUUCCUCAAGAUAUUCUUCCUUUGCCUGUUCCUGAGUCGUUGUUCCCAGCUUCUUUUGACAUUGAUCCAACUCCUAUUUUUCCUGAUUCUUCUUCUUCUCACACUGUUGAGCCUGAUCAUGAUAAUUCUAUUCCUGAUAUUUCUUCUUCUCACCAUCUUUCUGAUCCUAAUGUUCCUUCUUGUUCCAAUACUGAAUCUGUUCCAUCGGGAGAUAACGAUCCCAUUUCACGACCAAAACGCCAAACAAAAGUCCCUUCUUACCUUGAUGAGUAUCAUUGUUACCUUCUCAAUAAGGUUCCUGCUUUUCCUUCUCAUUCUCUUAACACUACAUCUUAUCCUAUUUCUUCUUUUCUUACUUAUGACAAUCUUCAACCCUCUUACAAAAAUUUCGUUCUUUCCAUUACUACUUCUACACCACCUAAGACCUUUCUUGAGGCUAUUAAAUCUGUGGAAUUCACUGCUGCCAUGAAAUCUGAGAUGACCUCUUUGGAAGCUACUGGUACUUGGUCUGUUUGUGAGCUUCCUCCUGGUAAACAUCCCGUCGGUUGCAAGUGGGUAUAUACGAUUAAGUUUAAUCCUGAUGGCACCAUUGAACGUUUCAAGGCUCGUUUAGUUGCUAAGGGUUAUACACAGAUUGAAGGGCUUGACUAUAUUGACACGUUUUCUCCAGUGGCUAAGAUGGGUACUGUCCGUCUUCUUCUUCGGUUAGCUGCAAGCAAGAACUGGUCUAUUACACAAAUGGACAUCAGUAAUGUUUUUCUUAAUGGAGAUCUCGAUGAAGAGAUAUACAUGAUUAUGCCUCCGGGUUAUUCCCAACUCUCUGGCAAGACUUAUCCUAAGAACUCUGUUUGCAAACUUCAUAAAUCUUUAUAUGGGUUGAAACAGGCUUCUCGUCAGUGGAAUCAGAAGCUAUCAAGUGUUAUUCUUGGUGCAGGUUUCCAACAGGCUCCUUCUGAUCACUCUCUUUUUGUUAGAAACACGUCUGAGGUGUUCUUAGCAAUUUUGGUUUAUGUGGAUGAUAUAUUGUUUGUUGGUAGUGAUGAGUCUGCUGUUGAUGCUUUCAAGGAUAUUCUUAAGGCUGCUUUCAAGUUGCGAGAUCUUGGUCCCGCAAAGUAUUUUCUUGGCUUUGAGAUUGCUCGCAGUGCAACUGGUAUUGCUAUUAAUCAGAGGAAGUAUACACUGGAGCUUCUUGAAGAUGCUGGUUUGCUUGGCUGCAAACCUCUCUAUGUUCCCAUGGAACCUAAUCUAAAAAUGUCUGGUACUGAUGGCGUUCUUCUUGAGGAUCCUUCGGUUUACAGACGCAUUGUUGGUCGUCUUCUCUAUCUCACCCACACCCGUCCUGAUAUUACUUAUGCUGUACACAAGCUCAGUCAAUAUAUGUCUGCUCCUCAUUCCGUUCAUCUUCAAGCCGCUAAUCGGAUCUUACGUUACUUGAAGAAUGAUCCAGGACAGGGCCUUUUCUUUUCUGCUUCAGCAGCACUCAACCUCACUGCUUUCUCUGAUGCUGAUUGGGCUGCCUGUCCUGACUCCCGUCGCUCUGUUACUGGCUAUUGUGUGUUUCUUGGUGAUGCUUUAAUCUCUUGGUGUUGCAGGAAACAACCAACUGUGUCACGUAGUAGUUCUGAGGCUGAGUACCGUGCUAUGGCUGAUACUACUUGUGAACUGAUUUGGUUGACUUCUCUUCUGCAUGAUCUUCACUGUCCUCCGUCUUCUCCGGCUACUCUCUUCUGCGAUAACCAAUCUGCUCUACACAUUGCUUCUAACCCUGUGUUUCACGAGUGCACGAAGCACAUAGAGAAUGACUGUCAUGUAGUGCGGGAACGUUUGCAGAGUGGCUUCUUGAAGACGUUACAUGUUCGAUCUGAUAAUCAACUUGCUGAUAUUUUUACUAAGGCAGUUCAACCUGGCCUUUUCAAGAAUUUACUGUCCAAGAUGGGUUUACAUAGCUUGUAUCUUCCAUCUUGAGGGAGGGGUAUUGGAUUAUAGAUUGUACGUUGGUUUGAUAUGGUUAAUACCUGUUAGGAACUUUCUAUAUAUAUUUGAAGUAUUGGUUGCAUUGUAACAGAAUGAUGAUAAUAAUAAAAGAUAUUUUGAUCUUCAUCUCUCUCGCUUGAGCUCAAGUUCUCUGGAUCUAAUAGUAUUGUUCAAUAUCUGCCAACUGAGUCAUACAUCUCCAGAGAAUAGGAAGCCAUAGAUUGGUGCUCAAAACUGGCGCCUUGGAGGCUAUAUCUCACUGGAAAAUAAUAGCUUCCAAUGUUAAGUACUAUUAGUAAAAUCAGGGUACAAAGCAAAAAUUCCGUACCCGGGCUUUCUAGUUGGGUAAGACAAGAUUGUAAGUUACUCUUCUUGUUAGCAAAACUUGAUGAGCUCAAAUGGUUUUUUUUUUCUUCUUCUAAGAGAGAUGGAGAGCCAUUUGUUGAAGAAGUUCUUUCUUUUGACAUGCAUUUAUGACUCCUUUGCAUUCUGCAUCGAGCAAACCCUCGUUCAUUAUGGCCGCUGCAUGGCCUCUUGGUUCAUCUGGUGCUCUUCUUAGCAUAAACACCUUAACACAGACCCAACCCUUACAUCAUCAUCUAAUGGUUUCUGUUAGCGUUUCACUGUUUGAUUUUGUAGACUUCAGUUUUCUGACAUAAUCGACGAAAGUAAGAAAUGAUGUACCUGCCCGUGGUGAGUUAUUUCCAAGCAUCCAGGUUGCUGAAUAACCCAACAACACAAAAGAUUCAAUCUUUAUCUCAUUUCUCGAAAAUCCACAACUCAAUUUAAGUCAUACCUCAACCACCUCGACGUUUCCGGCGCUCUCGAAGAGCUGAGCAACCUGAGCACUGUCAACGUUGAAGGGAAGGUUACCGACGAAGAGCUUGAGUUCAGAAGAGAAGGAUUGAUCCCGCCACGGGGUCGGGGGGAGCGUCGUCGUCAUCAGACAUCAGCGAAGAUGCUGUCUUCUUCGACUGAGAAGUCGUCAGUAACCGCGACAUUACGGACGAAGCGAGACGCGGCGGCGGAGAUGGAGAUGGAAGCAUAGAUCGAGUGGAGAUUGAAGGAGAUGAAAGGAGGUAGGAGGGAAGCGGAGGCGGGUCUGGAGAUGGUGAAAGGAAGGGAAUAUGGAGAAGAAUGCUUUUGUUGUUAACUUUGGGAAGAUUGUAUCGUCCAGCGGAGAAACCAGAGGAGAUGGAGACGACAGAAGAUGGAGAACACGAGAGAAACAGAAGAAAAAAAGAUAAAAAAUUAAAACUUAGGGAAGAUUGACACGUGUUCGAAAAAAUCCAUUCUAAAUUGGUUACCAAAGUCUCAUAUUAAGGAUCGACUACUCCCAUUUUAAUUACUUUUGAUUUAAUUAAAUUCUUGAUUUUUUUAAAAACCUCACUUAAGAGCACUCCCAUUAGUGAACUUAUGGGGGUUCACACACAUUCUAAAAAAAAAAAAUAUUAAAAUAAGGAAUAGUGAUGAACCUGUCUCUCUCCACCCCUUCCCAGUGAACCUGGUUCAUCACUGUAGCGCGGGCCCCAUGGCACGUGGCGGCCCGCGACUGGUCCGAAAAAAUAUAUAUAUAUAUUUUUUUUUAAAACAAAAAUCAACCAAAAAAAUAAUAAUAAAAAAAUGCUUUGUGAACUUCUUUCAUGGGGUUCACUAAUGGGGAUGCUCUAAGGAUCUGGGAUAAUGAUGGUCUUAGUUUGUAAAAGAUCUCUAGUUUAAGGUACUAAUUUAUAAAUUUUAAAACCUAUAACUACAAUUUUGAGAAAAUAGAAUCUGAGCACAGGUUCCAUAAUGCUUUUAAGACGUACGGACCUGGUUGGUGGUAAAGGAGAAGACAUAGGGACAAAAAAAACAAAUAAAUUUAGUAAAUGCGAAUAUGUGAAUCACAUUAACUCACCAUGUAUUAUUAUAUUUACUUAAUAGUUAUUUAAUAUGUAUUUAUCAGUUGAUUGCAUCAGUAACUUUUAAGGAUAGAAUAACAUUUAGGGUGAAUUUGUAAGAUAACCAUAAUAGAAAAAAAAAAUAAGAAUAUAACCAUCUCUUAGUAAUUGUAUUAAUUGAUUAUAUAAGUGGAUAUUCUUUUCCAGCACGUAAACAUGAACACAAUAUAUCGGAUAAGAAAGACUAUUCUAUUUCUGAUGUUUAUAUGGAAUAGAUAAACAAUGUCCACACAAAGUGUAGUGGAAAGAGGGAGAGAGGGAAGGAGAGAGUGGGAGUGGGAGAGGGAGAGAGGAAGGGUGAGAGAGAGAGAGAGAGUCAGAGAGAGAGAGAGAGAGAGAGAGAGGGAGAGGGAGAGGGAGACAGAGAGAGGGAUAGAGAAAUAGAUAAAUCUAUACUAUAUGUUUAUGAUAGUAUAGAUUUAAAACUGCGUUAAUGAUAUAUAUUACAAAAUAUAUAAAAUAUAAAUUUUUUUUGAAAGUUUCAAAAUAUUUUAUAUGAAGAAAAAAAUCUAUGUUUUUAAUAUGAAAAAUACAAAGUUUAAUAAGUGUUGUAGCAGAAGUUGAAAUAAAUUAAAAAUAGAAGGAGGAAACAUAUUUGAAAGAAGAAAAAAAAUCAAAAAAAAAAUGAAAAAAAAUGUUCAAGUAAAUGUGGUAAGGGUAAUAUGGUAAUUAUUAUACAAAUAUCAUAGUUUAAGAGUUGUUGUGUGUAGAAAAUUAAUUUUGUUGUUUGUCAUGUAUAUGUGUGCAAAUUUUCCUAACAUUUAUAUACAUAUAAUAAAGUUCGUACUCUAGCUAUUUAGGUAAAAGAGAUAGAUAGUGAAUUAAAUUCUUGUGAGCUAUACAGUGCAAUUUCCUUUUUAUAUAAUACUCUCUUUUUCUCUUUUUCUGUCAACUGUACAAUCCUUCUAGAAAUUGACAUUUGAAAUAUUUUUGCAAGUGAAUGGUUUUUCUUUUAUCAGUUUAAUUUUUAUUAUAUAACAGAAACCUUUUUCUGCUAUGAUUAUAUUACUUAUCAAAUUAGUAGUUCUAGACUUAAAAUUUAUGUUUUUUUCCUCUCUCAAAACUAAACAAAACCAAAAACUCAGAAAAAAAAAUAAUUUUACCCGAUGUCUAAGUUGUCGUACAAUUAUAUUGGAAUACGAAGUCAAUAUUUCUUUGAACAUGGAUGCUACUAUGGAGCAAGAACCUUGCAACAAUAGAUUGUUUCUGAAUCUAAGUGGACUAACCCUAGAUAUGGUGUGGUGUGGUUAAGUGCUAGUACCAAUAUUUGAUUGGAGCAUGAAUCCUACGAGAUAUUUAUGGUAACGCAUUGCUUCUUAGUAGAGAUGCAUCUGGCGAUACGAAUCACCCGGCUGGUAGAGGAAUUAGAAUGCAUUUUAUGGACAUUUGAGGGUUCAAUACUUUAUUAUACCCUGACUAUUCUAAAAUAUUCCUUCAAAAAGAAAAUUAAGUAUAUAUAUUCCUGGAUAAAUUGUAAUUAGAAAAUAGUAUAUCAAAGAUAUUGUCCUACGACACCGUUGAAAUUACACAUUGGGAUUCUCUUCACAAUGAACCUUUAUUCAACUUUAAAUACAUGAAAGCAAAGUAAGGGCGAGAUCUAUGAAACUUGAUAUAUAAAUAGAGCUGCAAGGGAAAGACAUUUCAUCACAUCCAAAACCAAUUACAACACAAAGAAAACCUUUACUAAUCUCUGCUCUAUAGGUUCAUAUACAUUUUUCUUUUGUAACCCUAAAAACAUGGCAAUACUCAGGAACAAAAAAAUAACCUUUUUAUUGAUCUUGAUGUGUCUCAUUGUGGUGUCUCCAAUUGCUAAUGCUCAGCUUGGUGGUCUAGGUGGUGGGCUUGGUGGUCUUGGUAUGCUUCUUGGCGGGCUUACUAAUAUCUUUAAUA
rnacentral:lncRNA from 1 species